rnacentral:rRNA from 1 species
AUGCAAGUCGAACGAGUCUCUGGGGGGUAACUCCUAGAGGAAAGUGGCGAAAGGGGCAGUAAUGUAUGGGUAACCUACCUUGAGGUCUGGGAUAGCUAUUCUAACGGAUGGGUAAUACUGGACGGCCUGAGUUGUCGGCAUCGAUGAUUUAGUAAAGGUUACGCCUCGAGAGGGGCCCAUAUGAUACUAGCUAGUUGGUGAGGUAAUGGCUCACCAAGGCAAAGAUGUCUAGCGGGUGUGAGAGCACGACCCGCGUCACUGGCACUGAGACACUGGCCAGACUCCUACGGGAGGCUGCAGUCGAGGAUCUUCGGCAAUGGACGAAAGUCUGACCGAGCAACGCCGCGUGUGCGAUGAAGGCCUUCGGGUUGUAAAGCACUGUCGAGGGGAAACAAGCCGUAAGGUUGAGUGACCCCUGGAGGAAGCACGGGCUAAGUUCGUGCCAGCAGCCGCGGUAAGACGAACCGUGCAAACGUUAUUCGGAAUCACUGGGCUUAAAGGGCGCGUAGGCGGGUAAUCAAGUCAAUGGUGAAAUCCUCCAGCUUAACUGGAGAAGUGCCUUUGAUACUGGUUGUCUAGAGGGAGGUAGGGGCAUGUGGAACUUCAGGUGGAGCGGUGAAAUGCGUAGAUAUCUGAAGGAACGCCAGUGGCGAAAGCGAUGUGCUGGACCUCUUCUGACGCUGAGGCGCGAAAGCUAGGGGAUCAAACGGGAUUAGAUACCCCGGUAGUCCUAGCCCUAAACUAUGGGUACUAGAUUGUGGACUUUCAUGGGUUCACAGUCG